UUGCAGGGAAACAAUGAGAAACAUUGAGGUUUACAAUCAAGGUCCUGCUGUCAGAGGUUUUGACCCACUGUUCGACCCAUUUUGCAUAUGGGGAAAUGAGUUAUCCAUGAAUAUCAGUAAGUCAAGAAACUCACAAAGAUUGUUAGGAUAAAGAAAUUAGCGACAAAAAACAACAAGAUCUUUGUGUGCACAAUGAAGAAGACAUCAGUUCACUACAGGAUGGCCUUUUCAAAGCAGAUCAU